GAUGAACGCUGGCGGCGUGCCUAAUACAUGCAAGUCGAGCGAACAGAUGAGGAGCUUGCUCCUCUGACGUUAGCGGCGGACGGGUGAGUAACACGUGGAUAACCUACCUAUAAGACUGGGAUAACUUCGGGAAACCGGAGCUAAUACCGGAUAAUAUAUUGAACCGCAUGGUUCAAUAGUGAAAGACGGUUUUGCUGUCACUUAUAGAUGGAUCCGCGCCGCAUUAGCUAGUUGGUAAGGUAACGGCUUACCAAGGCAACGAUGCGUAGCCGACCUGAGAGGGUGAUCGGCCCCCCUGGAACUGAGACACGGUCCAGACUCCUACGGGAGGCAGCAGUAGGGAAUCUUCCGCAAUGGGCGAAAGCCUGACGGAGCAACGCCGCGUGAGUGAUGAAGGUCUUCGGAUCGUAAAACUCUGUUACUAGGGAAGAACAAAUGUGUAAGUAACUAUGCACGUCUUGACGGUACCUAAUCAGAAAGCCACGGCUAACUACGUG
rnacentral:rRNA from 1 species